CGUGCAGGCGGUUUCGUAAGUCGGACGUGAAAGCUCCUGGCUUAACUGGGAGAGGCCGUUCGAUACUGCGAGACUUGAGGUUGGGAGAGGGACGUGGAAUUCCCGGUGUAGUGGUGGAAUGCGUAGAUAUCGGGAGGAACACCAGUGGCGAAGGCGGCGUCCUGGCCCACACCUGACGCUGAGACGCGAAAGCGUGGGGAGCGAACG
rnacentral:rRNA from 1 species